rnacentral:misc_RNA from 1 species
CUGCGAGUUCGCGGGAGAGUAGGUUAUUGCCAGGGUUUUUAUUUUUAUACUUUAAACUUUGAUUUUAUUUUUAUGUUUUUUAAAUAUUGGUGUUUUUGAAUGUGUUGUUUAAAUAACAUAAAAAAUAAAAUAUAUAUACUGACAUGCAUUAAACAAAGAUAUAUAUUAUUUUAUGUUGUAUAAAUAAAUUGGCAAAAUAGAGAUGGAAGAUAAAAAUAUGGUCAAAGUAAUAAGAGUCUAUGGUGAAUGCCUAGGA